rnacentral:rRNA from 1 species
CAACGACUCUCGACAACGGAUAUCUCGGCUCUCGCAUCGAUGAAGAACGUAGCGAAAUGCGAUACUUGGUGUGAAUUGCAGAAUCCCGUGAACCAUCGAGUCUUUGAACGCAAGUUGCGCCCGAAGCCACUAGGUUGAGGGCACGUCUGCCUGGGUGUCACGC